AUGGUAGAGCACGACAGGACCCAAGCGCCUGUGCGAUUUAUCCCGCUUGACAAGAAGGCCGCCGAGGACGCCGCUGCUGCCACCAAGCCGCGGCCUCUGCAUGGCCUAAGGAUCAAAGUCAGUAUGAGCGCGUUUGCUGUGAGGCGGGGCGGGGCGGCCCGACAACGCGGUAGCGGAGGCUCGGCGGUGCGGAGGUGGCCUGGCAUGGCGACUAGCUUUGCGAGGGUCUUCUUCCGUGAAAUUUCAGGCGGAUCUCCAGUGGCCAUUGGUAUGAAUUGUGUAGAGAAAACACACGCGACGCACACUGAAAUAGCUCAAACGGCCAAGGUACCCAACACUUUAUGCAUGCAUAUGCAUGGAGGGUUUGUUGGGAUUGUUUUCUGCAACCAAUCCAACGGCACGCCUGGUUUAGGCAAAUUACAAAAAGCCAUUCUGCGCAGACUCCAUUCUAAUCAAGAAGCAGAGUCCUGCCGUUUCCCUAGAAACAAACUUGAGAAGCCAACGGCUACUUUCUUUUUCCUUUCCUUUUUGCGAAGGAGCAGCGGCUUUAUUACCCGGGGUAAUCGGUGGCCAAAUGGUGCGCCAGAGGAGCAUCCUGCAACCACAAAUCGGUCGGGUGCGACAUGUACAGCUACGGUGCUUCCGAGGCCAACCAAAGGAAAGAAAGAAUCCCACUUGGCCAAGAUCAGAUACUCCCGGCGCCCGGCUUCCGGGAGGGCUAGCCUCGAUGCCGAUGCCAGAGACAAGGAGGCCACCACCAUCUUGGAGGGUGACGGCCGAGGAGAGGGGCUGUAUGUGGCCCUAGUGAAGGGCGAGGUGGAUGGCGGCGGAGGCAGUAACGGAGGAGGAAGAGGAGGAAAGCUGUAUGUGGCCGUCGGGAAGGACGAAGAGGAUGGCAGGUCCAACCUCCUCUGGGCCGCUCGGAACCUCCUCGCCUGCGAUGACAAGCUUGUCUUGCUGCACGUCCACCAGCCCGCCCACAGAAUCAUGACCGGAUUUCGCAUGGUCGAUGCAAGCCAGCUCCAGGAGAAGGAGCUCAAGGCAUACCGGAAGGAUGAGGAGGAGGAGAUGAACACACUUUUGAACCACUACCUCGACUUCUGCAGAGAUUCUCUCAAGAUGCAAGCCGAAACGCUGGUGACCAAGAACAGUACUGCAAAUGGCAUCGUCAAGCUCAUCGAACAGAAUCACAUCACAAACCUUGUCAUGGGAACAUCCUCCUUCUCGCCUGACGUCCAGACCAAAUACACCUUCGUAAUGAGGAAGAACAAAGCACUAAACUCAAAAGUUGCAGCUAUUGUGCAUCAACAAGCCAAACCAUAUUGCCAGAUCUUCUACAUAUGCAACGAGACGCUUGCUUGCUCUAGAGAGGCCACUCAGCGUUUGAUAAAAGUAGAGUCACCGCAAAGCGGCUACACAAGCACUGAUUCAGACCGAUCCGAGUUCCCUACAAGAUCCCAAUCACUAUCACUAGGGCGUACAGGUUUCUUCGGUUCCACAGAUCAAAAAGCCCUUCAACAAGAGUCCAAGCAGCCAGUUAGCUAUACAUAUCCCUUGUCAGCAUCGAUAACAGACAGCACGGAGACCAUACUAGGUGCAAGGGGCCGGUCAAUUCAUACAACGACAUCAACAGUUGCAAGCUCUAAAGAACAUCAACACUCUAUGUAUGCAUGGUGCAUGGUAAUGUGGGUCUUCUGCAUGCAUGGUGGCAUGAUAGAAACCGCCGUGCAACGAGAAGUGUUCGGGCAACUACAGCUACUCCUUGAUGAUCAUGAGUGCUCAAAAAGAGAAGCAAUUGAGGAUCAGCACAAAACAGCAAGGGGUCUGUUUGAAAAUCCUAUGAUGAAAGCAAAUGAGCAACGAGCAGAACUUGAGAACGAGCUUCUGCAGGCAAACUCCCUAAUGGAAGAGCUACAGCGCGAGAAAGAACAUGUUGUUAAGCAGGCUGAAGAGAUGCGCCAAACAAACGGUAGCGGUGCAUCUGUAUUUGGCUCUACCAGUACUAGUGCCAUUGUCUUAACAGAUUUCAGCUACGCGGAAAUAAAAGAAGCGACAAACAACUUUGACGCCUCCAAAAAGAUAGGGGAAGGUGGGUGUGGAAGCGUCUACAAGGGAUUUCUCCGUCAUACUACUGUAGCCAUAAAGAAACUGAACAGUGAAGGUGCAAGAGGAGAUCAAGAGUUCAAUGAUGAGGUAGAAACACUCUGUGGGAUGAGGCAUCCGAACCUUGUCACUCUGAUAGGAGCGUGCAGGGAGGCCAGAGUGUUGGUCUUCGAGUUCUUGUCAAAUGGAAGCCUAGAGGACUGUCUGCAGCGCGAGAACCGAAGAGAGGCACUCUCAUGGCGAAUGCACGUCAGAAUUGCUGCAGACAUCUGCACGGGACUUAUCUUUCUCCACUCCAACAAACCAAAAGGCAUCGCACAUGGUGAUCUCAAGCCUGACAAUGUCCUUCUCGACGCCAACUUUGUUUGCAAACUGGCAGACUUUGGGAUCUCUCUCCCCUUGAAUGAAUGGCCACCUAAGUACACUAAAGAGUUGGCAAAACUAGCACUGAGAUGUUGUCGUUAUGAACGAAAGGAGCGGCCUGAUCUCGGAAAGGAGGUCUGGGAUGUCUUCGAAGCUAUGAUGAACUGCCCAGACGAUAAAUGCAAGCCACCAAAGUUUCUCAUAUGUCCAAUAACACAGGAGAUCAUGAAGGAUCCACACAUUGCUGCCGAUGGAUACACGUACGAAGGUGCGGCCAUCAAGCGCUGGUUUAAAAUGGGGAACAAAAUGUCCCCCGUGGCCCGCGUCAGCUUCGCGAACCAUGAGUUGAUACCAAACAACGCCCUCCGCUUUGCAAUUCAAGAAUGGAAAAAGCGACAGCAACCAUGA
rnacentral:rRNA from 1 species